rnacentral:tRNA from 1 species
AAAAAGAUAAGCUAAAUAAGCUUUUGGGUUCAUACCCCGACUAUAAAGGUCAAAAAUCCUUUUCUUUUUA